GGGGACGUAGCUCAAUUGGGAGAGCGCUACCUUCGCAUGGUAGAAGUUGCCGGUUCAAGUCCGGUCGUCUCCA
rnacentral:tRNA from 1 species